AACACAUCGAAGUCUCUCGGAAAAUAUUUCUUUUUUUUGUCGAUCUUCAGAAUAGUAUGCAUUAACAUAAUAUUAUAAUUAACCUAUACGCGCUGAGAUACGAUUUUAAAAUUCAAGGAAAAGUGAAAAGAAGGCCACAAUUCAACUUAGAUCAUCGCAAAUUUCCCCACCCCGCAGUACCAAAAAGCUUGCUGCUGACAACGAAAAGAGAGGGAGAGGGGAAGGCAAACCUGGCUCUUCAGCAGGUGCUGAGUAUUCGCCGAAAAUUCGUAUUGAGAGCAUCGCGGCUUGGAGCAGCCACUCCAGAGUUCGGUAGCUUACGAAAAAGAGCUCUCUACGCCCGGAAAAUCCAGAGAAAAACCCAUAAGGAACGAAGAAUCGGGAAAUGUGGAAAAAUACCUUUUUUUUGUGUGCCAUAUAAAGUGAAAAUUAACAUAACCCCACACCGUGAAUAACCCGCAUGCAGGCGGUUGCAUAACCUAUAUAUAUAUAUAUAUAUAUAUAUAUUCGUAUAUAUAUAUAUGCAUAUAUAUGCGUAUAAGUUAAAAUUUUGAAAAUAUUGAAGAGUGAAGUUUGUUUUGCCAAGGAAUGGCCGUAUCGAGAAUAGGAUAGUUAUAGUUUUUUUUAUUUUAUUUAAUUUUUUUUUGUUGUAUUAUAUAUAAUAAUUUUUGUAGUGGGAAAUUAUUGAAGUUUGGUGAGGAGAAUAUGUUCAUGUGAGAGAAUGGUGUUCUGUGUAAAUAUGUGAAGAAAAUCGAAACAAAAAGAAAAAAAAAACAAGAAAAUAUAUGAUAUGAAAAAAAUCGAAAAAAAUAUAAAUUGUGCGUUAAUAAUAAAAUAGUUGAAAUAUAAGUAAAAUAUAAGUAAAGUAAUGAAGUGAAUCGGUCCAGUGAAACAUAUAUAAAAGCGAUGAUGAUUGAGUGCUAACAAAAGAAAAUGAAAAAUAAUUACAAUAAAAUUUCGAGAAAAAUGAGGGGAAAAUGAUGACGUUGCCAGGUGAAAUCGAGUGAUCAAUAAUAAAAAGAAAAUGUAAAAGCAUGUAGAAAUCGACGCAAAGUCAAAUCGAUGUCUCUCAGUAAAGAAAAUAUCAUGUCGAUUCUCAAUCAACUAAUUAUUUUUCAAUGCUUGUAAUUUAACACCGUCUGAGCUGCCAUAUAUUCGCCAUCGAAUUCUUUUUUUUAUUAAAACAUGCAAGGAAAACCUUACUUUUGCCUUCCCCAUCUUUAUUAUUCGCAUUUAUUUUAUUUUUAAUACUUAUUGUAUACUAUUUUAUAUUUUUUAUUAUACCUAUUCUAAAUAUAUACAUAUCUAUACCUAUACAUAUACAUACAUAUACAUAUUAUCUACCCACAGCACCAUUCUCAUAUCUCUCACAUAAAGAAAAAAAUAAUAUAUAAGCUCAUUUUAGAAGUUAUGAUUUAGGUAAAUUUUAAAUGGAGAAAUUAAAUGAAAAAUUAGUCUUAUGAAUAAAAUGUUUUGAAGUUGAAAUGAUUUGUUAAUUUUUCUGCCGUAGGGGUCAUGCUGAACCUAAAAAUGAUAGGGUGUUAAAACGUGAACUUGAAAAUAGGGACCAUAUAAAAUUAAUUAUUUUUUUUUUGUACGGAAUAAAAUGGUCAAGGUUGGGUGGGCUAAUACUAGUUGCUAUAAAAACAGCCAUAGCAACAAUUUUUCAAGUCGCCUUGUUUCAUAAAUUCUUUUCUGUCUAUCGCCCCAAUGUUUCCUUUUGUUUUUUGUUGUUUCUUUUCGGAUCUGAGUGCCCUUUUCCUAUAAUUCCCGAAGCACGCGAAAUUUAAUAAUUCUAUUUGCAUACGACGCCAGCACUGCGAGUAAUACACUUAGAAAAACCCACCCAUCGUCCCGAAUCUGAGCAAGGCCGGAAGCAACGCGUGCGGUAUUACCUCGUAUGUCCAUCAGCUGGUCCAAAUAAUAAUAACAGUGAUAUGCUACAGAUUGUGCUCUUUAUUGUAUUAAAAGCUAAUAUAGAAGUUCCUUAUAGCGGCCGCUGCCAGAUGCAUUGCUUGCCGGCUAUGCAGUAGCUACCUGCCAGACGCUGUGUCAGCAGUUUGACCGGGGCUGGUCAACGGACAAUCGGUCGUUGCGGGUUAACUUAGUUAACUUGCAUAUCCAUACGGCAAAAAAAAAAAAUAAUAUAAAAAAAAACAAGAGAAUGCUAUAGUCGAGUUCCCCGACUACCAGAUUACUCAGGUAGUGGAAGUGUCACCGAUAAAUUUCAACAUGUUCUGGAAAAGCCGUAUAAAUUGGGAAAAAAAAUUCAAAUAAAUUUUCAUCAAAUGAAAAAUAAGUUAAAAA